rnacentral:rRNA from 1 species
GCUUACGGCCAUACCAGCCUGGGAUGCCCGAUCUUGUCUGAUCCGGAAGCUAAGCAGGGUUCGGGCCUGGUUAGUACCUGGAUGGGAGACUGCCCGGGAACACCAGGUGCUGUAAGCA